rnacentral:rRNA from 1 species
GAUGAACGCUGGCGGCGUGCCUAAUACAUGCCAGUCGAGCGAACAGACGAGGAGCUUGCUCCUCUGACGUUAGCGGCGGACGGGUGAGUAACACGUGGAUAACCUACCUAUAAGACUGGGAUAACUUCGGGAAACCGGAGCUAAUACCGGAUAAUAUAUUGAACCGCAUGGUUCAAUAGUGAAAGACGGUUUUGCUGUCACUUAUAGAUGGAUCCGCGCCGCAUUAGCUAGUUGGUAAGGUAACGGCUUACCAAGGCAACGAUGCGUAGCCGACCUGAGAGGGUGAUCGGCCACACUGGAACUGAGACACGGUCCAGACUCCUACGGGAGGCAGCCGUAGGGAAUCUUCCGCAAUGGGCGAAAGCCUGACGGAGCAACGCCGCGUGAGUGAUGAAGGUCUUCGGAUCGUAAAACUCUGUUAUGAGGGAAGAACGAAUGUGUAAGUAACUAUGCACGUCUUGACGGUACCUAAUCAGAAAGCCACGGCUAACUACGUG